rnacentral:rRNA from 1 species
AGAGUUUGAUCAUGGCUCAGAUUGAACGCUGGCGGCAUGCCUUACACAUGCAAGUCGAACGGCAGCACGGGAGCUUGCUCCUGGUGGCGAGUGGCGAACGGGUGAGUAAUAUAUCGGAACGUGCCCUAGAGUGGGGGAUAACUAGUCGAAAGAUUAGCUAAUACCGCAUACGAUCUAAGGAUGAAAGUGGGGGAUCGCAAGACCUCAUGCUCGUGGAGCGGCCGAUAUCUGAUUAGCUAGUUGGUGAGGUAAAGGCUCACCAAGGCGACGAUCAGUAGCUGGUCUGAGAGGACGACCAGCCACACUGGAACUGAGACACGGUCCAGACUCCUACGGGAGGCAGCAGUGGGGAAUUUUGGACAAUGGGCGCAAGCCUGAUCCAGCAAUGCCGCGUGAGUGAAGAAGGCCUUCGGGUUGUAAAGCUCUUUUGUCAGGGAAGAAACGGUUCUGGUUAAUACCCGGGGCUAAUGACGGUACCUGAAGAAUAAGCACCGGCUAACUACGUGCCAGCAGCCGCGGUAAUACGUA